CCUACGGGAGGCAGCAGUGGGGAAUAUUGGACAAUGGGCGAAAGCCUGAUCCAGCAAUGCCGCGUGAGUGAAGAAGGCCUUCGGGUUGUAAAGCUCUUUUUACCCGGGAAGAUAAUGACUGUACCGGGAGAAUAAGCUCCGGCUAAUUCCGUGCCAGCAGCCGCGGUAAUACGGAGGGAGCUAGCGUUGUUCGGAAUUACUGGGCGUAAAGCGUACGUAGGCGGCUUGGUAAGUCAGAGGUGAAAGCCCACGACUCAAUCGUGGAACUGCCUUUGAGACUGCUUCGCUUGAAGAUGGGAGAGGUUAGUGGAAUUCCGAGUGUAGAGGUGAAAUUCGUAGAUAUUCGGAAGAACACCAGUGGCGAAGGCGGCUAACUGGACCAUUCUUGACGCUGAGGUACGAAAGCGUGGGGAGCAAACAGGAUUAGAUACCCUGGUAGUCCACGCCGUAAACGAUGAUAACUAGNUGUCGGGCGUCUGUAGCGUCGGUCGGCGCGAGCUACGACAUUAAGUUAUCCGUCCGUCGGGUAGGUACGGCCGCGAAGGUUAAACGUAACGAAAGGAAGUAGACGGCGUGAAGACGUAGCCGAAGGACGACGACGAGGGAGGAGG
rnacentral:rRNA from 1 species